rnacentral:lncRNA from 1 species
CAUAAUUUUACUCCAGCAACAGAAACACAAAAACUUCUCAGUGUGGUGCGCACCUCAAUUUUUGAAAUUAUAUUUUCCUCUUGUAGAGCAGUUCAGCUCUGCUGCUCAGCUGCACUGUAGAAAGCUGGUGCUUCUGCAAAGUGUAACAAUGGCAACAAAAAGCAGAGUGGAGCAGGACUUAAACUCUUCUGACAUCAUGGCUGGAUCUGUGAGAAUUCUCACCACCAGGACAGUCACUGUCAAAACAGUAGAGGACUGAGACAGCAGCGACAUCAGCAGCCUGACCUGUUGGCCAACACUGAUCUGUGUUUAUAAUCAGUCAAGAAACCUCUGGAUGUCCUUCCUG